rnacentral:rRNA from 1 species
UACGUAGGGUGCAAGCGUUAAUCGGAAUUACUGGGCGUAAAGCGUGCGCAGGCGGUUGUGCAAGACAGUUGUGAAAUCCCCGGGCUCAACCUGGGAACUGCAUCUGUGACUGCAUCGCUGGAGUGCGGCAGAGGGGGAUGGAAUUCCGCGUGUAGCAGUGAAAUGCGUAGAUAUGCGGAGGAACACCGAUGGCGAAGGCAAUCCCCUGGGCCUGCACUGACGCUCAUGCACGAAAGCGUGGGGAGCAAACAGG